rnacentral:rRNA from 1 species
CUCAACCGGGGAACGGCGCAUGAAACUGGCGAACUAGAGUACGGAAGAGGGAGGUGGAAUUCCAGGUGUAGCGGUGAAAUGCGUAGAUAUCUGGAGGAACACCGGUGGCGAAGGCGGCCUCCUGGUCCGAUACUGACGCUGAGACGCGAAAGCGUGGGUAGCAAACAGGAUUAGAUACCCUGGUAGUCCACGCUGUAAACGAUGGGCACUAGGUGUCCGGGGUAUUGACCCCCUGGGUGCCGCAGUUAACGCAUUAAGUGCCCCGCCUGGGGACUACGGUCGCAAGACUAAAACUCAAAGGAAUUGACGGGGGCCCGCACAAGCGGUGGAGCAUGUGGUUCAAUUCGACGCAACGCGAAGAACCUUACCUGGGCUAGACAACGGUGGACCGCCCCAGAGAUGGGGUUUUCCCUUCGGGGACUG